UGGGGAAUUUUGCACAAUGGGGGAAACCCUGAUGCAGCGACGCCGCGUGAUUUAGAAGGCCUUCGGGUUGUAAAAAUCUUUUCUAUGGGAAGAAAAUGACAGUACCAUAGGAAUAAGGACCGGCUAAUUACGUGCCAGCAGCCGCGGUAAUACGUAAGGUCCGAGCGUUGUCCGGAAUCAUUGGGCGUAAAGGGUACGUAGGCGGGUAAGCAAGUUAGAAGUGAAAUCCUAUAGCUAAACUGUAGUAAGCUUUUAAAACUGGUAAUCGUGAGGUAUGGAAGAGAAAGUGGAAUUCGAAGUGUAGCGGUGAAAUGCGCAGAUAUUGGGAUGAAUACCGGUGGCGAAGGCGACUUUCUGGCCAUAACCUGACGCUGAGGUACGAAAGCGUGGGUAGCAAACAGG
rnacentral:rRNA from 1 species